AGUGGGUUGCAAAAGAAGUAGGUAGCUUAACCUUCGGGAGGGCGCUUACCACUUUGUGAUCCAUGACUGGGGUGAAGUCGUAACAAGGUAACCGUAGGGGAACCUGCGGUUGGAUCACCUCCUUA
rnacentral:rRNA from 1 species